GAUGAACGCUGGCGGCGUGCCUAAUACAUGCAAGUCGAGCGAACAGACGAGGAGCUUGCUCCUCUGACGUUAGCGGCGGACGGGUGAGUAACACGUGGAUAACCUACCUAUAAGACUGGGAUAACUUCGGGAAACCGGCGCUAAUACCGGAUAAUAUAUUGAACCGCAUGUUUCAAUAGUGAAAGCCGGUUUUGCUGUCACUUUUAGAUGGAUCCGCGCCGCUUUAGCUAGUUGGUAAGGUAACGGCUUACCAAGGCGACGAUGCGUAGCCGACCUGAGAGGGUGAUCGGCCACACUGGAACUGAGACACGGUCCAGACUCCUACGGGAGGCAGCAGUAGGGAAUCUUCCGCAAUGGGCGAAAGCCUGACGGAGCAACGCCGCGUGAGUGAUGAAGGUCUUCGGAUCGUAAAACUCUGUUAUUAGGGAAGAACAAAUGUGUAAGUAACUAUGCACGUCUUGACGGUACCUAAUCAGAAAGUCACGGCUAACUACGUG
rnacentral:rRNA from 1 species